rnacentral:rRNA from 1 species
CGGAUUUACUGGGCGUAAAGCGUGCGUAGGCGGCUUUUUAAGUCGGAUGUGAAAUCCCUGAGCUUAACUUAGGAAUUGCAUUCGAUACUGGAAAGCUAGAGUAUGGGAGAGGAUGGUAGAAUUCCAGGUGUAGCGGUGAAAUGCGUAGAGAUCUGGAGGAAUACCGAUGGCGAAGGCAGCCAUCUGGCCUAAUACUGACGCUGAGGUACGAAAGCAUGGGGAGCAAACAGGAUUAGAUACCCUGGUAGUCCAUGCCGUAAACGAUGUCUACUAGCCGUUGGGGCCUUUGAGGCUUUAGUGGCGCAGCUAACGCGAUAAGUAGACCGCCUGGGGAGUACGGUCGCAAGACUAAAACUCAAAUGAAUUGACGGGGGCCCGCACAAGCGGUGGAGCAUGUGGUUUAAUUCGAUGCAACGCGAAGAACCUUACCUGGCCUUGACAUACUAAGAACUUUCCAGAGAUGGAUUGGUGCCUUCGGGAACUUAGAUACAGGUGCUGCAUGGCUGUCGUCAGCUCGUGUCGUGAGAUGUUGGGUUAAGUCCCGCAACGAGCGCAACCCUUUUCCUUAUUUGCCAGCGGGUAAUGCCGGGAACUUUAAGGAUACUGCCAGU